CCUACGGGUGGCUGCAGUGAGGAAUAUUGGUCAAUGGGCGCGAGCCUGAACCAGCCAAGUCGCGUGAAGGAUGACUGCCCUACGGGUUGUAAACUUCUUUUAUAAGGAAAUAAAUUACGGCACGUGUGCCUUUUUGUAUGUACUUUUUGAUUAAGGCUCGGCUAACUCCGUGCCAGCAGCCGCUGUAAUCCGGAGGAUCCGGGCGUUAUCCGGAUUUAUUGGGUUUAAAGGGAGCGUAGGUGGAUUGUUAAGUCAGUUGUGAAAGUUUGCGGCUCAACCGUACAAUUGCAGUUGAAACUGGCAGGCUGGAGUGCAGGAGAGGUGGGUGGAAUUCGUGGUGUAGCGGUGAAAUGCUUAGAUAUUACGAAGAACUCCGAUGGCGAAGGCAGUUCACUGGACUGCAACUGACAUUGAGGCUCGAAAGCGUGGGUAGCAAACAGGAUUAGAUACCCGUGUAGUC
rnacentral:rRNA from 1 species